AUUGAACGCUGGCGGCAUGCCUUACACAUGCAAGUCGAACGGCAGCAUGAUCUAGCUUGCUAGAUUGAUGGCGAGUGGCGAACGGGUGAGUAAUACAUCGGAACGUGCCCUGUAGUGGGGGAUAACUAGUCGAAAGAUUAGCUAAUACCGCAUACGACCUGAGGGUGAAAGUGGGGGACCGCAAGGCCUCAUGCUAUAGGAGCGGCCGAUGUCUGAUUAGCUAGUUGGUGAGGUAAAGGCUCACCAAGGCGACGAUCAGUAGCUGGUCUGAGAGGACGAUCAGCCACACUGGGACUGAGACACGGCCCAGACUCCUACGGGAGGCAGCAGUGGGGAAUUUUGGACAAUGGGCGAAAGCCUGAUCCAGCAAUGCCGCGUGUGUGAAGAAGGCCUUCGGGUUGUAAAGCACUUUUGUCCGGAAAGAAAUGGCUCUGGUUAAUACCUGGGGUCGAUGACGGUACCGGAAGAAUAAGGACCGGCUAACUACGAG
rnacentral:rRNA from 1 species